rnacentral:ncRNA from 1 species
CACCGCGAGAUGGGGUCCGAAAGAAGGUCUAGGCAAAAUCCCGUGGCGAUGAACAAGAAGCGGAUAGUAGGCAGUGGAGUGGGGCGAGCCUGCGCCAGAUGGCGAAGCCCGAUGCGGUACGGACACCAAGCUGUAUAUCCGACGC